rnacentral:rRNA from 1 species
ACGCUUGAAGUCAGUCACGUUGGCUAGAAAUCAGCCUUGCUUUUGCCUGGUGUACUUUCUUGUUGACGGGUCAGCAUCAAUUUUGACCAUCAGAUAAAGUCUUUUGGGAAUGUGGCAUCUUCGGAUGUGUUAUAGCCCAUUGUCGCAUAUGGUGGUUGGGAUUGAGGAACUCAGCACGCCCGCAAGGGACGGGUUUCGACCACGUUCGUGCUCAGGAUGCUGGCAUAAUGGCUUUAAUCGACCCGUCUUGAAACACGGACCAAGGAGUC